GUCCCCUCCCCAGCCUCAGCACCAGCCUCAGCCCCUCUGACGACCUACCAUGCCCCUGAUCGUGGAUGCUGUGUGGGCCGUGUGGAGCAUCGGGGCCGGGGUCUAUGACUACUUCCACACCAGUGCCAUGGAGGAACGCAUCGGCAACCUGGAGAGCGUCCUGACCAUCCACCAGUGUGUCAUAGCAGCUCUGUCCGCAGGCCUCGUCCUCCUCAUGACCUACAUACUGUGGAGAAAACACUGAAGCCAUGGUUGUAUUCAGUCAGUGAGAUGGCACCGGGGGGGUAAGUUUCCCCUAGGUACAGAUCUUGGAUCAUUUCCCCCUCCCUCAAUCCUAUCUGUAACCAGUAGUGGGGGAAAAUACUAAACUGACCCAAGAUCAGCAUCUAGGGGCAACUUCACCCUACUCUAGCGGAGAUGGGAGAUGAGACGGUCCUAGAUACUCCAGACCUAAGGACUGCAUUACGGAUAGCAUCGGCUACUCACCAGACUAACAGCCAGUCCCAAAUCACUCCCUAACCCUCCCCCAUUGUCUUAUGUCAUAUCAUGCGAUGACUGUCAGUUUAGGGGCGGGGCAUCGUGUAGGAGUGACGCCACCUAGCAUAAGAUAAGGACCUUGGCACUAACCCUUAGGUGUUGGCAGAUCUGAAGGGUCUUGAUAGGUAUAAGCAGUGUAACGCUGGAUCAUCACAUUACUACUGGAGCUCAACAGACAGUCCUCAACCCCUCCCUAGUCCUUCCCCUCGGCCCUGACCCUCAAAUGAACAGUCUGGAUAGGUAAUGACAACUGGGUAGGUAUAGGAUUCUGUUUCAUCAAAGCACUACUAUUGGAAGACGAGCUCAAGAGACCACGAGGAGUUGCUUGUGGAAGCUUCCUGGUGGAAAGUAGCCCUGGUAUACAGUGCAAAGGCUCUAUCAGAGCUGGUUGGAGUAGAGUCAUCCCUCCAGGUCUCGUUCAUCACUCUGCCGUUACUUGGAACGGGAUUGAGAGGAAGUCUGGGAGCUGAGGGAAGCUGGAGAGGGGUUCUUCAAUCUGAGAGCUCGAGUGCCGUGUUGACUGUAGCCUGGUCCCCAGAUCUGUUUGUGCUAUUGUGUCAACUCCUUGCCAUGCCAAACAUGGAAUUGACAUGAUAGCGCCAACAGAUCUGGGACCAGUCUAUCAUGACCGGCUGUGAUCAGAAAACACUGUAUUUUGCUACUGUGUGGAUACUGACGUCUCUAGCCUGGUCCCUGAUCUGUUUGUGCUGUCUUGCCAACAAUGACCAUAAGGACCGUAGGCGUGGGCAAGACCAUACAAACAGAUCUAGGACCAGGCUAACUCAGGCCAUCAUCCAUUGAAUGUGAUUGAUUCAUUUUGGGACUGUUAUAUUGCCGAAAGGGAUUUGUGAAACAUGGCUUCUGUCCAUGUCACUGUAGAAUAAGCCAACAUAAUAAUGACACUGUUGGGACUAAACAUUAUAAACCGCUUUUCUUAAAAAGGUGUUUAUCUUUCUCUUACAUGGAAGAUUUCAGACAGUUUAAGCCUAGUCCUUAGAAUAAAAAGCCUGGUCAAUGGAGAAUCUCCGUUAAGUUAAUAUAUUUAUAUUUUUUUUUAGCCCAGGACUAGACUUAAACUGUCUGAAAUAUUCCAUGUAAGAGAAAGAUAAACACCUUUUUUUUUUAAAAAGUUACUGUCGAGGUUAAACAUUGUUACACGUUUCCAUGACGAUGACACCUUUCAACGGUUUUCUCUGUAUUUGUACUUCAUAACAUCUCCUUUUUAAAAUCAUGCUUUUAUCAUUGUUGGGUCUGUUCCCUGUCUCCCUGGUUCACUAUUAUCAUGUCUGUCGGCCAUUGUUGUCGACUCAAGUGCUACUGUGCGUAUUUUGCUGAAUCACUACCUGGUUGUUGGUUUCUAUGUGAGCAAACGGUAUUCAUGUCAGGUUAAUAAAUAAUGUGAUUAACUCUGCA